CAGUGGGAAGAGGGCAAGUUUUCCCAAACAAUCCCACCACUGCCAGGAGACAGAUACCUGACCCUGAAAAGUUCAGCUGUGCUUCAGAGUAUUUUUUCCUUACCCAGUGCGAUCUGCAGUUAGAACUGUUAUCCCUAUCACCAUGGAAAUGGUUUGGUUUUAAAGGAUGCUGUGGAUGGACUGCGUGGGGAUGAAGGCAGGAUGGGGAUGGGGCUGGGCCACUGGUGGGAAGCAGUCAAAGAAUGAUUUAGGGCUUGAUGGCAUCUGAAUGCUUAUACUGCUAUAAAUCCCAACAAAUUCCUCUGGUUUUUUUUACCACUGCAGCCAAGACUGGAAUGGGCUCUGGCAUUUAUUCCUUGACAGCACUUGGAUGUGGAUGCACUAGGCCUGGGGUUCACAGGAUUGGCAACUCUCUCUUUUCACUGCAGGUAUCCUGGUAUUUCCUAUCCUCCCUGAACUCCUUGCUUCAGAAGGGAAAAAAGAAAACACCACGAGGCUUCGCUUUUGCUUUGCAAAUGAAAACAUUGAUUUCCUCCUCUGCAAGGCUGCAGGGUGAGCCUGGAGCCAGGCUAAAGGUGUAUCCAGAAGGGACCUGGCAAGCUGAAGAUAAGUAAGUAGGUAAUGAGAUAAUAAGAGAAUGGAUCAAUCUGUUUUCUGUAAAUAAUGGAUAAAUAACCUGAAGACAGAGUGUGAGUGUGCUGACAGCUGGGAGAGCAGCUCCAUCCCUGGCUGCAGCUGUCAGAGCAGCACGAUCCCCCCGCUGAGCUCCUUCCCGCAGGACGCCGGGGGGGAAAGCAUUCCAUGGGGAUUUUCAGGAAUGCCACAGGGUGGAUAUAUUUGGGAUGAAGAUGCCUGGCUGGGCUGGAGUGACACGAGCAGCUGUGGCACCGUGAGCAUCCCCCUGUGCACAAACCCUCCUGUAAAUCCAUUCCCUGGCCACGGCCCUCCAGCCAAAACCAGGCGGGAAAAAUAUCCCCAAGUCAUCAGCUCCUGCUGACGCAUUCGUGGGUGGGCAGUGGCAGCCCGACCCCUCCACAUCCCUGAAAUAGCUGCCUCGAGGGAGACCACAGCUAAUCCCCCUGGCUCAGCCACCACGCUGAUGAAGCUGGAGCUGGAAUCAAAAUAGCCAAGCUGAUCUUUGGGAUAAUUCAUCGGGCACAGCUGAACUCCAGGCCAAAGCAGCUCGGCCACCACCAACAGAGUGGAGGAACCCUCGACACCAAAGAGCCCAAGAUGGAGGUCCAGUCUGGUUUUUGCACCCCAGGGCAGCCUGGACCCCUUGGUGACACCAGAACACAGCAGGAGCAGCGGUGCCAGAGCUCAGCUGAUGCCUCUGAGGGUGAGAUCACCUAUAACUAUAUCUAGGACCAGUGACCCACAAUUACAGACUCUGCUGAGACAAUUCAUUUAUCCAGAUGUUCCCACUGAUCCUCAACUGAGCAGGAAAUGACGGAGCUUAGGGGCAUUUCCCUGCUAAAUGCUGCAUCCAGGAAACGGAAGCUCCAAACCAACGCUGCUGGUGGUUUAGAGGAUUGAGCUGCUUAUUUAGUGGCCAAGAGACAUCACCGUGGGACACCAUCCCCUCUGCAGCCUCCAAAAUCCUCGGAGCACUUAGGUGGCGGUUUUACUGUUUUAUUGAGAAGGAGCCUCGUGGUCUGGACCUGGCUGCAGAAUAAAACACUCACAGGGUGGUGAAGAAAGGACAUGGGGCUGGAGGAAGAUGAGUGUGAAAAACAUCCCAGUUUGCAACCACAAAAAUGGACAAAAUUGCCCUUCCAGCAUCUGUAGAAGCCUGGGAAGGGUCUUCUACCUUCUGUUUAAAAACACCUUCCACCGAGGCAGCCACCAGCUCAGCAGGGGCUUCAGAGCUUGCAAACAGCCCUGAGUUUUCUCUUUUGGUGGAAAAAUCUAAGCUGGUGUUUAGCUGGAAUGCUUUUUUUGGACAGAAAACUGCAGAUGUGGGGCUUGGGGGCAGCAGGGUGGCCGGCCCAGCACUGUGCCUUCCUCAGGAGCCAUCUGCUCCCCUUGCUGCUAGCCUGGGCUGUGCCCCCACAGUCAGCUAAAACCUCCGAGCCCGGGCAGGGCUAUUUCCGUCCGGGAUUUGCACAGGGAAUGGAUUUUUCAAGUCUCUCCUCCCUGCCUGGCUGGCUCAGGAUGGGGGCUGGGAUCCAGCAGCAGCUCCAGGGGCUGUGCAGCAGCUUGGGAAUGGAGAUGGAUGGAGAGGUCAGCCCUGCAGGUGAACAUGGGGGAGACAGAGAUCAUCCCAUCCCAAAUCUGCUUGUGGACGCUUCAGGAGCAUCCUCAGGUCCCCAAACCAGGGAGCUUCUGCCUCCCUUGCCACUGUUGUGGCACUGUCCCUUAAUCUGCAGGACUCUCUCCCAGCACAGCCACUCAGGAUGUAAAUUAAAAGGGAAUUCAAGGGAUCUGAGGGCUUUUAUGUGCUGAAAUGGAGUGGGGAUUUUCCAACACGCCACCGAAUUGUGGCACAGUGAGGAUUUUGGAGGCAGAGCAGAUGCUGGGAGGUGGGGGGAGAUCUGCCCAUCUCCAAGCACUGGGAAGGCUGAGCCCAGGAGGUCUUGGACAGGCUGCCAAUGCUCACUUGGGAGAAGAGGAGGAGGAUCCCUCCUCCCUGCCUGCCCUCUGCUCCAGGGGGCUGCAGAUGGAGCAGCAGAAGAAACCACACAGCUCCUGCUUGAACAGCAGUCCAAGCACGUCAUGGACACAGGGACAGAGCCCUGCUGGAGCUCCCCUGGGAGCUCUGCAAAUGGAAAGCUCAUCCCAAAUUCUGUCUGACAGCUUCACUGCCACAAAAGGACUUGAGGAAACUGGGAUGGAGGAGAAGUCACUCAAGCUGAGAGAGGGAAAAGAUUCCCAUAAUUCACAGAAUGACUAGUUUGGAAGAGACCUUGGAGAUCAUUGAGUCCAGCCCAUGCCCCAACACCUCAACUAAACCAUGGCACCGAGUGCCAAAUACAGUUUUUAUUUAAACACACUCAGGGAUGGUGACUCCACCACCUCCCCAGGCAGACCAUUCCAGUGCUUUAUCACUCCUUCUGUCAAAACUCUUUCCUAAUAUCCAACCUAUAUUUCCCUUGGUGCAGCUUGAGACUGCGUCCCCUGCUUCUGUCAGCUGCUGCCUGGAGAAAGAGACCAGCCCCAC